UACGUAGGGUGCAGGCGUUAAUCGGAAUUACUGGGCGUAAAGCGUGCGCAGGCGGUUUGCUAAGACAGGUGUGAAAUCCCCGGGCUUAACCUGGGAACUGCGCUUGUUACUGGCAAGCUUGAGUGUGGCAGAGGGGGGUGGAAUUCCACGUGUAGCAGUGAAAUGCGUAGAGAUGCGGAGGAACACCGAUGGCGAAGGCAGCCCCCUGGGCUAACACUGACGCUCAGGCACGAAAGCGUGGGGAGCAAACAGG
rnacentral:rRNA from 1 species